GACGAACGCUGGCGGCGUGCUUAACACAUGCAAGUCGAACGGAAAGGCCCUGCUUUUGUGGGGUGCUCGAGUGGCGAACGGGUGAGUAACACGUGAGUAACCUGCCCUUGACUUUGGGAUAACUUCAGGAAACUGGGGCUAAUACCGGAUAUGAGCUCCUGCUGCAUGGUGGGGGUUGGAAAGUUUCGGCGGUUGGGGAUGGACUCGCGGCUUAUCAGCUUGUUGGUGGGGUAGUGGCUUACCAAGGCUUUGACGGGUAGCCGGCCUGAGAGGGUGACCGGGCACAUGGGGACUGAGAUACGGCCCAGACGGCUACGGGAGGCAGCAGUGGGGAAUAUUGCACAAUGGGCGGAAGCCUGAGGCAGAAACGCCGCGUGCGGGAUGACGGCCUUCGGGUUGUAAACCGCUUUCGCAUGUGACGAAGAGUGAGUGACGGUAAUGGGUAAAGAAGCACCGGCUAACUACGUG
rnacentral:rRNA from 1 species